rnacentral:rRNA from 1 species
AGAUUGAACGCUGGCGGCAGGCCUAACACAUGCAAGUCGAGCGGCAGCACGGGUACUUGUACCUGGUGGCGAGCGGCGGACGGGUGAGUAAUGCCUAGGAAUCUGCCUGGUAGUGGGGGAUAACGGCUCGGAAACGGACGCUAAUACCGCAUACGUCCUACGGGAGAAAGCGGGGACCUUCGGGCCUCGCGCCAUUAGAUGAGCCUAGGUCGGAUUAGCUAGUUGGUGAGGUAAUGGCCCACCAAGGCGACGAUCCGUAACUGGUCUGAGAGGAUGAUCAGUCACACUGGAACUGAGACGACGGUCCAGACUCCUACGGGAGCGAGCAGUGGGAAUAUUAGGACAAUGGGACGAAAGCCUAGACUCCAGUCCAUGCCGCGGUGUGUGAAGGAAGGUCUUACGGUAUU